rnacentral:lncRNA from 1 species
ACCAUAGGACACAGACAGGAAGUGGGGCUGGUGAAGCAAGGUCCUUCGGCUCUGGAGCAGGUGUUGGAGGGCAGGCGAGAGUUGGUGAAUGCUGCCCAGGCCCACUGCCUGACAGAGAGGGGUUACCAGCUCCCUUGCAAGGCAGGCAGGGGUCUCUGCCCAGAGUUCAAAGAAGAGGCAUGAAUGGGACGGACAGGGCAUAAGGUGUAGGAGACAAACUUUUCCUGAGAAGAGGACAACUUAAUCAGGUUCUGGAAAUGGCAACAAUUCAGAUUAAAGAGAUGGGAAUGGACUCUAGCUGUCAGCAA